GAGAUCGGGAUAACACCUGGAAACAGAUGCUAAUACCGGAUAANAACAGAUGAUGCCUAUCAACUGUUUAAAAGAUGGUUCUGCUAUCACUCUUGGAUGGACCUGCGGUGCAUUAGCUAGUUGGUAGGGUAACGGCCUACCAAGGCGAUGAUGCAUAGCCGAUUGAGAGACUGAUCGGCCACAUUGGGACUGAGACACGGCCCAAACUCCUACGGGAGGCAGCAGCC
rnacentral:rRNA from 1 species